rnacentral:lncRNA from 1 species
GGGUGACUUUCCUUUUUAGAUUUCCUCAGAAUUAAAGUUAGAAACAACUGCAGAGUAAAAUGUUUUACCAUAAUGUUUCAUUAAAUUAUACCCCAGAAAGCAUAACUGAUUCUAGAAUGUUUCUGAAAGAACUGAUUUUGACACCACUGUAGCACCAAAAUUCCCUUGUCAAACAGAUGUCAUCCCUGUAAAACUAUCCAAAACAAAAGGAGUUUAUGACAUAGCAUCUGUUCCCGCAGUAGAUGGCUGAGCUGAAACUGUUUUGUUUCCUUUGUACAAAAUAGCCCUAACUGCCUCCUUUUAUUUUAAUUCAUUAUGUUUCCAUAUCCCCUUUAAAGGAGACAUUAAAACAUUUGAUAUCUUUGGACCAUAAAUCCCUAAUGAAGGAAUAAAGUAAGUACUACUCACUGGUACCACCUGCGGUUACUACCAGCGGUGGAAUAUGUCUUUUCUAGCCCCAUCUCCAAAAGCAAUAAUUUAAAACUGUCCAAAUGAGUUAACAAAUUAAAACCCACAAUUUGAAUUAAAAAGAUUGAAAUGUC